rnacentral:rRNA from 1 species
GAUGAACGCUGGCGGCGUGCCUAAUACAUGCAAGUCGAGCGAACGGACGAGAAGCUUGCUUCUCUGAUGUUAGCGGCGGACGGGUGAGUAACACGUGGAUAACCUACCUAUAAGACUGGGAUAACUUCGGGAAACCGGAGCUAAUACCGGAUGAUAUUUUGAACCGCAUGGUUCAAAAGUGAAAGACGGUCUUGCUGUCACUUGUAGAUGGAUCCGCGCUGCAUUAGCUAGUUGGUAAGGUAACGGCUUACCAAGGCAACGAUGCAUAGCCGACCUGAGAGGGUGAUCGGCCACACUGGAACUGAGACACGGUCCAGACUCCUACGGGAGGCAGCAGUAGGGAAUCUUCCGCAAUGGGCGAAAGCCUGACGGAGCAACGCCGCGUGAGUAAUGAAGGUCUUCGGAUCGUAAAACUCUGUUAUUAGGGAAGAACAUAUGUGUAAGUAACUGUGCACAUCUUGACGGUACCUAAUCAGAAAGCCACGGCUAACUACGUG